rnacentral:rRNA from 1 species
AUGCACCCAAGACCUCGUUUUCUGCCGGAUUUGAUAAAAAUUUCAACCGACGAACCCACCCCGAACCCAGGAUCCCGAGGGGCAGCUAGGGGAGGAGAGAGACUAUUUACAUGUCAUUUGGCCCACCGUCAGCCUCUCACUCCCUCUCUCCUCACUUUUCCUCCGGGGUCCACCCACGUGCUCCUCUCUCUUCUCUUCUCCUCCCCCACCAACUCCACGCCCAACGCCUCGCCCGCCACGCUGCCGCCCUCACCUCACUGCGCACAGGUCCGGGGCAGCCAUUGGCAGCCAGCUAGCCAUUGGCAGCCAACCACAACGCAACACCAAGGAGAAGCAGCACGUGGAGGAGGGGGACGACAGGAUGAAGGAGCUCCGGGGCCGGUUGGCGGACUACGCGCGCCACCACCAAAGGCACGGCCACGACACGCUCCUCCUCAUGCUCGCCGGGUUCGCCUUCGUCUCCUGCCUGCUGCUGCUCCUCCCCAAGAGCCUCUUCUCCGCCGCCAUGGACGACCUCCUGCAGCUGGGCCGGAAGCGUCGGUGCGACCAGGAGAUGGCGCCCACGUUGCCCGCGCCUCGCCCCGCGCCGACCUCUGCGCGGGACGUCCGCACCCACGCCGCCUCCAACUCGCUCUUCCUGCUCGCCGCUGCCGCCCUGGCCGACGAGCGCAUCCGGCCAUACAUCCGGUGGGCACCGGUGCGGCACCAACACGGGCGAGCUCGCGGUGCGUGGGCGUGGCGCAGGCACGAGCCCGCCCGAACGGGUCUGCCGACGGGGACGACGCCGGCGCCCCAGAUGAUGUCGGCCUCGUCGAGCUCCAGGGCCGGGUCGGCCGCGUGCUGCAGGGGGCGCGCCGGCGCCGGCGCGAAGAGCCGGUGCGCGGGAGACCAUGGAAGGGUUGCUGCUCCGGCGGCAGGGACCGAGCUCGAAGAGGUCGCCGACGAGGCCUGAGCAGCACGGGCCGCCCUGGAGCCAGAGGAGCAGCGGCGUGUCGGCCGGCGUCGCCUCCUUCCCCGUCGGCUCGAGGGACCGGGUACGGGGCGAGGGAGCGGGGCACGGGGGCGGCUCGACGUCGGCCUCCGGCUGCUAGAUGUCUCCUCGAGCUUCUCAUCGCCUCCUUCCCCGUCGACGCUCGCGCUCCUCCGCUAGGCGCGCGCCGAGGAGGUCGUCGACGCCGCCGCGGGCAAGAUGCUCGAUGA